rnacentral:rRNA from 1 species
GCCGUUGGGAAGGCUACCAUGCAAGUCGGACGGUAGCACAGAGGAGCUUGCUCUUCGGGUGACGAGUGGCGGACGGGUGAGUAAUGUCUGGGAAACUGCCCGAUGGAGGGGGAUAACUACUGGAAACGGUAGCUAAUACCGCAUAACGUCGCAAGACCAAAGUGGGGGACCUUCGGGCCUCACACCAUCGGAUGUGCCCAGAUGGGAUUAGCUAGUAGGUGGGGUAACGGCUCACCUAGGCGACGAUCCCUAGCUGGUCUGAGAGGAUGACCAGCCACACUGGAACUGAGACACGGUCCAGACUCCUACGGGAGGCAGCAGUGGGGAAUAUUGCACAAUGGGCGCAAGCCUGAUGCAGCCAUGCCGCGUGUAUGAAGAAGGCCUUCGGGUUGUAAAGUACUUUCAGCGGGGAGGAAGGCGGCAAGGUUAAUAACCUUGCCGAUUGACGUUACCCGCAGAAGAAGCACCGGCUAACUCCGUGCCAGCAGCCGCGGUAAUACGGAGGGUGCAAGCGUUAAUCGGAAUUACUGGGCGUAAAGCGCACGCAGGCGGUCUGUUAAGUCAGAUGUGAAAUCCCCGGGCUUAACCUGGGAACUGCAUUUGAAACUGGCAGGCUUGAGUCUCGUAGAGGGGGGUAGAAUUCCAGGUGUAGCGGUGAAAUGCGUAGAGAUCUGGAGGAAUACCGGUGGCGAAGGCGGCCCCCUGGACGAAGACUGACGCUCAGGUGCGAAAGCGUGGGGAGCAAACAGGAUUAGAUACUUUUGUGUAGUCCAAAAC